AUGAGAUGCAUGUUUGAACCCUCAAUUAAAUGUGAUUACAUCAAUAAUAACCUUGCCGAGUCUUUUAAUGGUUGGAUUAAAGAUUACAAAGAGUUGCCACCUGAUGAGCUAGCUGACACUCUUAGAGAGCUAGUCAUGAAACUUCCUGAGAGAAGGAGAAAGAUUGGAAUGAAACUGAAAGGAAAAAUUAUUCCAGCCAUCAUCCAACAGAUUCAUAAUAGGACAAGGGGACUUAAACAUUUGAAAGUUGGGAAAUCUGGAGUUGCAAGUUGUGAGGUGAGGGAUACAAGUAAAUACAACUUGCGACAUGUUGUGAAAACUGCCCAAAGCGAGUGCACGUGCUUGGAGUGGCAGCACACAGGGAAGCCUUGUGAGCAUGCACUUGCUUUCUUGCCGGAUAGAAGGAACCCCAAAUGGGAGGACUACGUGCAUGACUAUUUCUCUCUAGAGAAGUUUAGGGCAGCAUAUGCUGGAGAGGUUGAG
rnacentral:rRNA from 1 species